rnacentral:tRNA from 1 species
UGCCCCCGUAGCCCAAUCGGUAGAGGCAGGCCCCUUAAAAGGGUCCCAGUGUCGGUUCGAAUCCGAUCGGGGGCACCCA